AAAAAAUACCGCACUGUAGUUGUUUUUGAGGUUUGGCGAGAGAACAGCAAGUUGCAAUUUCACGUUAUUGCCCCCAGUUUGUCCGCACGAGUGGCCCACCGCUUUACAGGCAGCGGUUCCUGCUGGAGGGCAGCUUUAAUAGUCGCACGGCUUUUUUACAAAAGGCAGAGGUGGAUGGAUCCCCCGGCUCUCGCCCGCCCGACCGUGUGCCGGUGGCACAGCUUUCCAGGGCACCUACUCCAGCCCCCGUCGCUCGUGUAGUUAGACGAGGCUGCCAUGGUAACAGACGGUAUUUCUCGUCCCUUCAGUCACGUUGCAGGCCAAACCAGAUGGGCAAGCAAUACAAGCUGUGAAUUUAUUCUUGAUCCCUGUAGGACAGUGACCACCUCCGUUUUUACCAUCACCGUACAGAUAUGCAUUGUCAAUAAGAUCCUGGAGCACAAGGAAGGAGUUUUAAUAUAA
rnacentral:lncRNA from 1 species